CAGCUGCAGUGAAGUCGAGUGACGUCAUGACGACGCGCAGGAAGGGGCGGGGCUUCGGUGCAGCUGAGCUGAGUGACGUGUUCUAAUAAUCACACGGUUAGCAGCUCUUUUUUUUUUUUUUUAAGAUCCAAUAUCUCCUGAUUCACACUUCAGCCCAGUCGGUGGCGGUAAUGCACCGUUAAGUUGGUUUGCCAACCGCCAUAAAAAAAUAAAUAAAUAAUAAGAAGUUGUUAGCAGCUCAUUCAUCACAGAAGACAUGGUUUUAUUAGAAAACGACGCGGUCAGCACCAAAGAAGUAAUAAAGUUUCAGAUGGCGUAUUCAAACUUCACACGGACGGCUUGAAAAAGAAAGACAAAAAGAGUAAAAGAAAGAAAACGAAAGCCACGCAGUCAUGACCUCUGACCUCUGACCUCUGACACGCACCAGUGCCAAGUUUGAAAGAUGGGAGUUUUUGAACUAAACCACUCGCUCUUGUAGAUUUGCAAAUAAGAGACGAGGUUUAUUCACUGUUUGGAUCCCAGAGAGCUUCAGAAGAGACUUGUGCGCUGUAGAAAACGAAUCUCAGAUGGCGGUGCUUCUCUUGUCCGGCCGCUCUCUGCUGGAGCUCAGCGUGUGACUGCGCUCUUCUUCCAGAUAAGAGUCCUUCAUGAUCGCCGUCACGUACUGGAACAGCGUCUGGAGGGAAACAAACAUGUUCAAGAACGAUAAAGACGAUAUUUGAGAAUGUAAAGAGAACUAAAGAUGGAGCAUCUGUGAGAGAAGAGAGACAGAGAUGAGUGUGAGGAAGAGUCCAGACAUCAUCAUCAUCAUCAUCUUCAUCAUGAGCUCAUCACCUGCCAGGCCUGCUCCAGCUCAGACGUCCAUCGGUCCUUCAGAACCGGCCGAACCGCGCAGAUGAACUCCGCUCCCACAUACUGAAACACAAUAACUUACAUUAACUCUUAGACAUUUAGCAGACGCGAAGCAAUCAAAUUCAUCAUGAUACACAAGUGCAAUGACACGACUCCGUCAGCUUCAUGCAGAACACAUAGCGAAGGGUUUUAAAUCAUAUAAUAAAAGAACAGAGCAAGCUAGUGCUAGAGGAGGAUUUACAUACUACAGAACAAUAAGACUGUUAAAAGUAUGCCUUGAAAUAAAAUGCAUUUAAAAAAGAAA